rnacentral:rRNA from 1 species
GAUGAACGCUGGCGGCGUGCCUAAUACAUGCAAGUCGAGCGAAGCGGCGACGGGUGAGUAACUCGUGGAUAACCUCCUAUCCGACUGGGAUAACUACGGGAAACCGGGGCUAAACCGGACACCUAUAGAUGGAUCCGGGCUGCAUUUUCUUGUUGGUAAGGUAACGGCUAACCAAGGCAAUGAUGCAUAGCCGAGCUGUGAGGAGGAGCAGCUACACUGGAACUGAGACGAGGUCCAGACUACAACGCGAGGCAGGAGUAGGGAAUCGUACGCAAUGGGCGAAAGCCGGACGUAGCAACGCCGCGUGGGGGAUGAAGGGCUGGGGAUCGUAAGACUAUGUUAUUAGGGAAGCGGUACCUAAUCAGAAAGCAACGGCUAACUACGUGCCAGCAGCCGCGGUAAUAC